rnacentral:rRNA from 1 species
AUUGAACGCUGGCGGCAGGCCUAACACAUGCAAGUCGAGCGGAUGAAGGGAGCUUGCUCCUGGAUUCAGCGGCGGACGGGUGAGUAAUGCCUAGGAAUCUGCCUGGUAGUGGGGGAUAACGUCCGGAAACGGGCGCUAAUACCGCAUACGUCCUGAGGGAGAAAGUGGGGGAUCUUCGGACCUCACGCUAUCAGAUGAGCCUAGGUCGGAUUAGCUAGUUGGUGGGGUAAAGGCCUACCAAGGCGACGAUCCGUAACUGGUCUGAGAGGAUGAUCAGUCACACUGGAACUGAGACACGGUCCAGACUCCUAAGGGAGGCAGCAGUGGGGAAUAUUGGACAAUGGGCGAAAGCCUGAUCCAGCCAUGCCGCGUGUGUGAAGAAGGUCUUCGGAUUGUAAAGAACUUUAAGUUGGGAGGAAGGGCAGUAAGUUAAUACCUUGCUGUUUUGACGUUAACAACAGAAUAAGCACCGGCUAACUUCGUG